rnacentral:rRNA from 1 species
GACGAACGCUGGCGGCGUGCUUAACACAUGCAAGUCGAACGGAAAGGCCCUGCUUUUGUGGGGUGCUCGAGUGGCGAACGGGUGAGUAACCCGUGAGUAACCUGCCCUUGACUUGGGGAUAACUUCAGGAAACUGGGGCUACUACCGGCGAGGAGCUCCUGCUGCAGGGUGGGGGUUGGAAAGUUUCGGCGGUUGGGGGUGGACUCGCGGCUUAUCAGCUGGUUGGUGGGGUAGUGGCUUACCAAGGCUUUGACGGGUGGCCGGCCUGAGAGGGUGAACGGCGACAUUGGGACUGAGAUACGGCCCAGACGCCAACGGGAGGCAGCAGUGGGGAAUAUUGUACAAUGGGCGGAAGCCUGAUGCAGAAGCGCCGCGUUCGGGAUGCCGGCCUUCGGGUUGUAAACCGCUGUCGCCUGUGACGAAGCGUGAGUGACGGUAAUGGGUAAAGAAGCACCGGCUAACUACGUG